UACGUAGGGUGCGAGCGUUGUCCGGAAUUACUGGGCGUAAAGAGCUCGUAGGUGGUUUGUCGCGUUGGUCGUGAAAACCGGGGGCUUAACCCUCGGCGUGCGGGCGAUACGGGCAGACUUGAGUACUGCAGGGGAGACUGGAAUUCCUGGUGUAGCGGUGGAAUGCGCAGAUAUCAGGAGGAACACCGGUGGCGAAGGCGGGUCUCUGGGCAGUAACUGACGCUGAGGAGCGAAAGCGUGGGGAGCGAACAGG
rnacentral:rRNA from 1 species